AUUGAACGCUAGCGGGAUGCUUUACACAUGCAAGUCGAACGAGUGGCGGACGGGUGAGUAAUAUAUCGGAACGUGCCCAGUAGCGGGGGAUAACUACUCGAAAGAGUGGCUAAUACCGCAUAAUAUUGGAGCGGCCGAUAUCGGAGUAGCUAGUUGGGGGGGUAAAGGAUCACCAAGGCAACGAUACGUAGAUGGUUUGAGAGGAGGACCAGCCACACGGGGAAUGAGACACGGCCCAGACUCCUACGGGGGGCAGCAGUGGGGAAUGUGGGACAAUGGGUGAAACCCUGAUCCAGCCAUCCCGCGUGUAUGAGAAGGCCUUCGGGUUGGAAAGUACUUUUGUCAGAGAAGCGGUAUCUGCAGAAUAAGCACCGGCUAAGUCCGUGCCAGCAGCCGCGGUAAUUC
rnacentral:rRNA from 1 species